ensembl:snoRNA SNORD24 Small nucleolar RNA SNORD24
UGCAGAUGAUGUAAAAGGAUAUUUGCUAUCGGAAAGAUAGUGAUGACACUUCAAACCACCAAGAUCGCUGAUGCA